rnacentral:lncRNA from 1 species
GGUAAGACGACAAAGGUAAGACGACGGUCACCCACCCUCAUCAAGCAACGACUGUCGUCGCCACCACUCACACGACCCAUCUCCGUCUCCGGUCACCCACCACCGUACUCCUUCUCCACCCUGAACCCCAAUCGCCGUACAAGGACGUAUUUCCGGUGGUCGUCUCCGGCGGUGGAACGGACGCAUCAAUCACUGGGUUUGAAGAGGGGUUAUCGCAUACAUGGUUAGCCUAGGGUUAGGAUGAAGAUGCAGUGAGAUGACGGCACAGCUUCUUACAGACCAACUGAAGAUUUCAAACGUCCUUAAAGAGCAGCCCUUCAUUAGAUUGACCAGGUGGUAGCACAUUAAUGGUGGCGAGCAACUGACUUGCAAUAGGAACUUUCUU